rnacentral:rRNA from 1 species
AACGAACGCUGGCGGCAUGCCUAACACAUGCAAGUCGAACGAGACCUUCGGGUCUAGUGGCGCACGGGUGCGUAACGCGUGGGAAUCUACCCUUGGGUUCGGAAUAACUCAGAGAAAUUUGAGCUAAUACCGGAUGAUGUCGCAAGACCAAAGAUUUAUCGCCCAAGGAUGAGCCCGCGUAGGAUUAGCUUGUUGGUGAGGUAAAAGCUCACCAAGGCGACGAUCCUUAGCUGGUCUGAGAGGAUGAUCAGCCACACUGGGACUGAGACACGGCCCAGACUCCUACGGGAGGCAGCAGUGGGGAAUAUUGGGACAAUGGCGAAAGCCUGAUCCAGCAAUGCCGCGUGAGUGAUGAAGGCCUUAGGGUUGUAAAGCUCUUUUACCCGGGAUGAUAAUGACAGUACCGGGAGAAUAAGCCCCGGCUGACUCCGUGCCAGCAGCCGCGGUAAU